rnacentral:rRNA from 1 species
UACGUAGGGGGCGAGCGUUGUCCGGAUUUAUUGGGCGUAAAGAGCUCGUAGGCGGUUUGUCGCGUCUGCUGUGAAAACUCGGGGCUUAACCCCGGGCCUGCAGUGGGUACGGGCAGACUAGAGUGCGGUAGGGGAGACUGGAAUUCCUGGUGUAGCGGUGAAAUGCGCAGAUAUCAGGAGGAACACCGGUGGCGAAGGCGGGUCUCUGGGCCGUAACUGACGCUGAGGAGCGAAAGCGUGGGGAGCGAACAGG